GGGGCUGAUCGGUUUCGACGGUGGUCGUGCUUCGAGGAGAAGCGGGCCGAGGAUGCAGACUUAUCUCGCAAACGAUGUCUGUAAACCAAUAGUUGCCGAUAACACGCGCAACGACUUCGCACUCGCCGCCUGAGCGAGGAUUCGAAGUCCGUCGGCCCAGGGAUGCUCUCGCCCUGGUAGCCGGCGUCAUCUAGAGAGCCACUGCUCGCAGUCUUCGUCACCGGGGCUGCGGGGACUCAAGGUGACUGGGCCCGUCCGCGAAGUGUCUGUGCGAGCGCGGGGGCCGAGAAAUCUCCUAGCAGACUGCGCCCGGAGAAGUCCUGGAAAAGCGCUACCGGACCGGGGUUCGAUUCCCCGCAGCUCCACCC
rnacentral:tmRNA from 1 species